AACUUUUGGCAAUGGAUCUCUUGGCUCUCGCAUCGAUGAAGAACGCAGCGAAAUGCGAUAAGUAAUGUGAAUUGCAGAAUUCAGUUAAUCAUCGAUUCUUGGAACGCACCUUGCACCCUUUUGCAUUCCGAAGGGUAUGCUCGUUUGAGGGUCAUUGUACUCUCACACUCCCGAUGCUUUUGGAUUGGGAGUGGUGGACUUGGGUGUUGCUGCUUUACUGUGGCUCACCUCAAAUGGAGUAGUGCAACUCUUGGUUGGACAUAGUACGGCCUGAUAAGUGUCUCCACCGGCGCCUCAUUAGAGGGUGGCCGAUCGGGAGCUCUGUGCUUCAAACCGUCUUCGGACAACAUCUGACAACUUGACCUCAAAUCGAGUAGGACUACCAGCUGAACUUCAGCAUCUCAAUAAGCGGAGGCA
rnacentral:misc_RNA from 1 species